rnacentral:rRNA from 1 species
UUGACCUCAAAUCAGGUAGGACUACCCGCUGAACUUAGCCUUAUCAAUAAGCGGAGGA